rnacentral:rRNA from 1 species
GCUCAGAGUGAACGCUGGCGGCAGGCCUAACACAUGCAAGUCGAACGGCAGCACAGCAGUAGCAAUACUGUGGGUGGCGAGUGGCGGACGGGUGAGGAAUGCAUCGGAAUCUGCCUAUUUGUGGGGGAUAACGUAGGGAAACUUACGCUAAUACCGCAUACGUCCUACGGGAGAAAGUGGGGGACCUUCGGGCCUCACGCAGAUAGAUGAGCCGAUGCCGGAUUAGCUAGUUGGCGGGGUAAAGGCCCACCAAGGCGACGAUCCGUAGCUGGUCUGAGAGGAUGAUCAGCCACACUGGAACUGAGACACGGUCCAGACUCCUACGGGAGGCAGCAGUGGGGAAUAUUGGACAAUGGGCGCAAGCCUGAUCCAGCCAUGCCGCGUGUGUGAAGAAGGCCUUCGGGUUGUAAAGCACUUUUGUCCGGAAAGAAAAGCUUCGGGUUAAUAACCCGGAGUUAUGACG